AGCAGCCGCGGUAAUUCCAGCUCCAAUAGCGCAUAUUAAAGUUGUUGCAGUUAAAAGCUCGUAGUUGAAUUUCGGGGUUCUACGGUCGGUCGGGCUAACGUCUGUACUGGUGUGUAGAAUUCCUACCUUCUGGGGAACCAUCAUGUUAUUAAUUUAGCGUGGUGGGAAACCAGGACCUUUACCUUGAAAAAUUAGAGUGUUCAAAGCAGGCUUACGUCUGAAUACAUUAGCAUGGAAUAAUAAAAUAGGACGGUGGUCUUGUUUUGUUGGUUUCUGAAUCACCGUAAUGAUUAAUAGGGAUAGUUGGGGCAUUAGUAUUCAAUUGUCAGAGGUGAAAUUCUUGGAUUUAUUGAAGACUAACUUCUGCGAAAGCAU
rnacentral:rRNA from 1 species